rnacentral:rRNA from 1 species
UGAAUGUUUAUCAAAAACAUUUCUUCAUGUUUUUUUUUGAAGUAUUCCCUGCUCUAUGAAUUAGUUUUAAAUGGCCGCGGUAUUUUAACUGUGCAAAGGUAGCAUAAUAAUUAGUCUUUUAAUUGAGGUCUUGAAUGAAUGGGUUAACAAAAUAAUAGCUUUAUUAAAUUAAAUUUUUUGAAAUUAAUUUUAAAGUUAAAAUUCUUUAAUUAUUAAGGGGGACGAUAAGACCCUAUAGAUCUUAAAAAAUAAAUUUUUAUAUUUAGUUUUUUUUAUUUUUUAAAAUUUAUUUUUUUAAUUGGGGAGAUUUAUAAAAAAUUAAACUUUAUAUUUUUUUUACAUUAAUUGUUGUUUUAUAUUGAUCCAUUUUUAGUGAUUUAAAGAUAAAGAUACCUUAGGGAUAACAGCGUAAUAAAUUUGGGGAGUUCAUAUUUAUAAAUUUGUUUGCGACCACGAUGUUGAAUUAAAAUUUUAGGAAGGGGAAGGUUUUUUCUAUAUUGGUCUG